UCUCGCACAGGGCGUGGUGGCGUCGCCGAGGGCGGGGCGUGGAGGUCCGCCGGCUUCCGCUUUUCCGGGUUCUUGGACCAAGUCCUGCCCUUGAACAGCUUGUGGGCACCGGAAUCUUGGGACAUUCGAUGGCCGCAUCUGUGCAGAUUCUUGUGAUCUGAAUCCUGAUGGAGUAAGAGCUGACAAAGGAGACGUCAGAAAGUCUGUCUCUGCCAAGCCACAGAAUUUGAUGCGCCAGCCAAAAGAACUUGGCAGCAAAAUAUAAGGAAGCUAUAGGGACCCUGUGAGGUGUCACCCACACAUAGAAGAUUGGGUACGGAAAUUUCUCUCCAGUCCUGACACGAAGGGAUGCGAAUAUGUUUGACGUCUUCACUCCCAGGAAUGAAGCCAAACACUUUCUUGAUUCUAUGUCUGAUAAGAAGUCGGGAAUGCUCCUCGGCAGCUUGCUUGAAGAGCAUUCUCUCAUUGUGGAGGUGGUUGGCCCAGUAGUGAUGCUGCAGAGAGGUGAGGGGAGAGCAACAUCUCGCCAGACAUUUAGAGACCAGCUAGGAAUGGGAAGCGUGGAGAAGUACAACUAAACAGCAACAACAACAACAACU